AACAUGCUCGAUUCCAAUUCUUAAUUAAGGGGGAUGAUGCAAAACCCAGAAUUUCUUUGUAAAUUGGCUUCUCCUUAGACUAUACAGGUAUAUUUAUUCUGGGUGCCUAAGGUUUUGAGUUUUGAAAUUUGUGUUUGACCAAUUAACCAUUGAGAUAGCCGUCAUAUAUGACAUUGCCAAGAUUCUCAAUUCUUAGUCUUUCAUAUUUACAAUUUGGUUCGUGGUCUUUUGACAUCUCUGCUGCUCUACCCAUUACCAAGCACAGCUCGACAAUCCCCAGCAUUAGCAACUAUCAGGGUCCUGCAAAAAUUACACAAUACUCUUUAAUUUGCAGCAAUCACUUCUGUCGCAACUGGUCGACAACAGUAAUAGUCAACCCAGUAAGAAGUGACAUAGAUUUUUCUUUGAUAUAUUUGAUAGAUAUAGCCUGAAUUGAUAUUUCUCCCUUAGCUCCCUGCGGAAUCCAUGUUGAUUAUAUGGAUUAAUUAUGCAACUUGAUUGAAGUUUGAUGUAAUUUCAUAUUGUUAAACCCCUUUAAAUGGAUGAGAAAAUAUUGUUAAA